rnacentral:rRNA from 1 species
GAUGAACGCUGGCGGCGUGCCUAAUACAUGCAAGUCGAGCGAACAGACGAGGAGCUUGCUCCUCUGACGUUAGCGGCGGACGGGUGAGUCACACGUGGAUAACCUACCUAUAAGACUGGGAUAACUUCGGGAAACCGGAGCUAAUACCGGAUAAUAUAUUGAACCGCAUGGUUCAAUAGUGAAAGACGGUUUUGCUGUCACUUCUAGAUGGAUCCGCGCCGCAUUAGCUAGUUGGUAAGGUAACGGCUUACCAAGGCAACGAUGCGUAGCCGACCUGAGAGGGUGAUCGGCCACACUGGAACUGAGACACGGUCCAGACUCCUACGGGAGGCAGCAGUAGGGAAUCUUACGCAAUGGGCGAAAGCCUGACGGAGCAACGCCGCGUGAGUGAUGAAGGUCUUCGGAUCGUAAAACUCUGUUAUUAGGGAAGAACAAAUGUGUAAGUAACUAUGCACGUCUUGACGGUACCUAAUCAGAAAGCCACGGCUAACUACGUG